AGAGUUUGAUCAUGGCUCAGAACGAACGCUGGCGGCAUGCCUAACACAUGCAAGUCGAACGAGACCUUCGGGUCUAGUGGCGCACGGGUGAGUAGCGCGUGGGAACCUGCCCUUCAGUGGGGGAUAACCGAGGGAAACUUCGGCUAAUACCGCAUGCGCCCGGGGCAACCCGGGGAAAGAUUUAUCGCUGAAGGAGGGGCCCGCGUCGGAUUAGGUAGUUGGUGGGGUAACGGCCUACCAAGCCUGUGAUCCGUAGCUGGUUUGAGAGGAUGAUCAGCCACACUGGGACUGAGACACGGCCCAGACUCCUACGGGAGGCAGCAAUGGGGAAUAUUGGACAAUGGGGGAAACCCUGAUCCAGCAAUGCCGCGUGAGUGAGGAAGGCCUUAGGGUUGUAAAGCUCUUUCGCGCGCGACGAUGAUGACGGUAGCGCGAGAAGAAGCCCCGGCUAACUUCGUGCCAGCAGCGGCGGUAAUAC
rnacentral:rRNA from 1 species